UCGAUGCAACGCGAAAAACCUUACCUACCCUUGACAUGUAGCGAACUUUCCAGAGAUGGAUUGGUGCCUUCGGGAACGCUAACACAGGUGCUGCAUGGCUGUCGUCAGCUCGUGUCGUGAGAUGUUGGGUUAAGUCCCGCAACGAGCGCAACCCUUGUCAUUAGUUGCCAUCAUUAAGUUGGGCACUCUAAUGAGACUGCCGGUGACAAACCGGAGGAAGGUGGGGAUGACGUCAAGUCCUCAUGGCCCUUAUGGGUAGGGCUUCACACGUCAUACAAUGGUCGGUACAGAGGGUUGCCAAGCCGCGAGGUGGAGCCAAUCCCAGAAAACCGAUCGUAGUCCGGAUUGCACUCUGCAACUCGAGUGCAUGAAGUCGGAAUCGCUAGUAAUCGCGGAUCAGAAUGUCGCGGUGAAUACGUUCCCGGGUCUUGUACACACCGCCCGUCAAACCAUGGGAGUGGGUCUCACCAGAAGUAGUUAGCCUAACCGCAAGGAGGGCGAUUACCACGGUGGGAUUCAUGACUGGGGUUAAGUCGUAACAAGGUAGCCGUAUCGGAAGG
rnacentral:rRNA from 1 species